rnacentral:rRNA from 1 species
CCUACGGGCGGCAGCAGUGGGGAAUAUUGCACAAUGGGGGAAACCCUGAUGCAGCGACGCCGCGUGAGUGAAGACGUAUCUCGGUACGUAAAGCUCUAUCAGCAGGGAAGAAAAUGACGGUACCCGACUAAGAAGCCCCUGCUAACUACGUGCCAGCAGCCGCGGUAAUACGUAGGGGGCAAGCGUUAUCCGGAUGUACUGGGUGUAAAGGGAGCGUUGACGGCAGCAAAAGUCUGGUGUGAAAUCCCGGGGCUUAACCCCGGAAGUGCUUUGGAAACUGGGCGGCUGGAGUGCAGGAGGGGUAAGCGGAAUUCGUAGUGUAGCGGUGAAAUGCGUAGAUAUUAGGAGGAACACCGGUGGCGAAGGCGGCUUACUGGACUGUAACUGACGUUGAGGCUCGAAAGCGUGGGGAGCAAACAGGAUUAGAGACCCCAGUAGUC